rnacentral:rRNA from 1 species
GAUGAACGCUGGCGGCGUGCCUAAUACAUGCAAGUCGAACGAAGCCUUCGGGCUUAGUGGCGGACGGGUGAGUAACACGUUGGUACCUGCCUCGAAGUGGGGGAUAACUGGCCGAAAGGUCGGCUAAUACCGCAUGUGAUCGCAAGAUCAAAGUCGUAAGACGCUUCGAGAGGGGCCUGCGUCCCAUUAGCUAGUUGGUAGGGUAAUGGCCUACCAAGGCGACGAUGGGUAGCUGGAUCGAGAGGUUGACCAGCCACACUGGGACUGAGAUACGGCCCAGACUCCUACGGGAGGCAGCAGUAAGGAAUCUUCCACAAUGGACGAAAGUCUGAUGGAGCAACGCCGCGUGCAGGAUGACGGCCUUCGGGUUGUAAACUGCUUUUAUAUGGGAAGAUUAUGACGGUACCAUAUGAAUAAGGACCGGCUAACUACGUGCCAGCAGCCGCAGUAA